UUUUACCUCAUUUUUAAAACAAAUCCAUAGUAUGGAUGAUAUUGAUGAUGAAAUGUCUUACGAUGAUCAUUUAGAGGUUUAUUUUGAACAACUGGCAAUUCCACGAAUGAUGGAAUAAAACAUAUGAAGUAGAAGGACUGGAACCUCCAGAAAAAGUACUUUAAGUUACCUACAGGUGAUCCUAGUCAGGCAAAUGAAAACAGUAGCCUAAAGUGUCAGUUUCAACCAGAAAAUAACAGCUCUGAUUUCUCAUGGCUCACACUCUUCUGAAACGACUCGGGUAGAGGCUGAGGAAGGCCGUGUUGUUUGUCUACCUGGGACUAGUAAGAACUCCAGCGCAUCUCAGACCACCAGAGCUCGGGCCACCAAGC
rnacentral:lncRNA from 1 species